rnacentral:rRNA from 1 species
UACAGAGGCCUCGAGCGUUAUCCGGAAUUAUUGGGCGUAAAGCGUGUCUAGGUGGCAUUUUUAGUCUCCUGUUAAAGCCUGCGGCUUAACCGCAGAUCUGCGGGAGAUACGGCAAAGCUAGAGAGUGCGAGAGGUGUACGGAACUCUAGGUGUAGGGGUGAAAUCCGUUGAUAUCUAGGGGAACACCAGAGGCGAAGGCAGUACACUGGCGCAUUUCUGACACUCACACACGAAAGCGUGGGGAGCGAACGGG